UUCUCAGGUUUCUGGGUGUCCCCAAAUCCCGGGUGAGCACCCAAGAUGUAAGGCCCCCUUACGGGGACUCCCACUCUAGUCUCAGGAGAGAGAGAGCACCCAAAGAAACACAAGAAUCC
rnacentral:pre_miRNA from 7 species